UGAGGGAAUAUUGGGUCAAUGGACGGGAGUCUGAACCAGCCAAGUAGCGUGCAGGAUGACGGCCCUAUGGGUUGUAAACUGCUUUUGUGCAGGGAUAAAGUGUGGGACGUGUCCCAUAUUGCAGGUACCGCAUGAAUAAGGACCGGCUAAUUCCGUGCCAGCAGCCGCGGUAAUACGGAAGGUCCGGGCGUUAUCCGGAUUUAUUGGGUUUAAAGGGAGCGUAGGCCGGAGAUUAAGCGUGUUGUGAAAUGCCGCGGCUCAACCGUGGCACUGCAGCGCGAACUGGUUAC
rnacentral:rRNA from 1 species